GUCUAUGGUCAUACCACCCUGAACACACCCAACCUCAGAAGCUGAGCAGAGUUCAGAGCUGAUUAGUACUUGGAUGUGAGACUACUAGGGAAUGCUGGGUAUUACAGUUA
ensembl:rRNA 5S_rRNA 5S ribosomal RNA